CUACGGGAGGCAGCAGUGGGGAGUAUUGGACAAUGGGGGAAACCCUGAUCCAGCCAUGCCGCGUGAGUGAUGAAGGCCUUCGGGUUGUAAAGCUCUUUUAGCGGGGAAGAUGAUGACGGUACCCGCAGAAUAAGCCCCGGCUAACUUCGUGCCAGCAGCCGCGGUAAGACGAAGGGGGCUAGCGUUGUUCGGAAUUACUGGGCGUAAAGGGCGCGUAGGUGGCCCAGCAAGUCAGGCGUUAAAGACCCAGGCUCAACCUGGGGAAUGCGCUUGAGACUGCAGGGCUUGAGACCGGAAGAGGAGAGUGGAAUUCCCAGUGUAGAGGUGAAAUUCGUAGAUAUUGGGAAGAACACCAGUGGCGAAGGCGGCUCUCUGGUCCGGUUCUGACACUAAGGCGCGAAAGCGUGGGGAGCAAACAGGAUUAGAUACCCUGGUAGUCCACGCUGUAAACGAUGCGUGCUAGACGUUGGCAGGCCUAGCCUGUCGGUGUCGCAGCUAACGCGUUAAGCACGCCGCCUGGGGAGUACGGCCGCAAGGUUAAAACUCAAAGGAAUUGACGG
rnacentral:rRNA from 1 species